AGUCGAACGAUGAUUAUCUAGCUUGCUAGAUAUGAUUAGUGGCGGACGGGUGAGUAACAUUUAGGAAUCUGCCUAGUAGUGGGGGAUAGCUCGGGGAAACUCGAAUUAAUACCGCAUACGACCUACGGGUGAAAGGGGGCGCAAGCUCUUGCUAUUAGAUGAGCCUAAAUCAGAUUAGCUAGUUGGUGGGGUAAAGGCCCACCAAGGCGACGAUCUGUAACUGGUCUGAGAGGAUGAUCAGUCACACCGGAACUGAGACACGGUCCGGACUCCUACGGGAGGCAGCAGUGGGGAAUAUUGGACAAUGGGGGCAACCCUGAUCCAGCCAUGCCGCGUGUGUGAAGAAGGCCUUUUGGUUGUAAAGCACUUUAAGCAGGGAGGAGAGGCUAAUGGUUAAUACCCAUUAGAUUAGACGUUACCUGCAGAAUAAGCACCGGCUAACUCUGUGCCAGCAGCCGCGGUAAUACAGAGGGUGCGAGCGUUAAUCGGAAUUACUGGGCGUAAAGCGAGUGUAGGUGGCUCAUUAAGUCACAUGUGAAAUCCCCGGGCUUAACCUGGGAACUGCAUGUGAUACUGGUGGUGCUAGAAUAUGUGAGAGGGAAGUAGAAUUCCAGGUGUAGCGGUGAAAUGCGUAGAGAUCUGGAGGAAUACCGAUGGCGAAGGCAGCUUCCUGGCAUAAUAUUGACACUGAGAUUCGAAAGCGUGGGUAGCAAACAGGAUUAGAUACCCUGGUAGUCCACGCCGUAAACGAUGUCUACUAGCCGUUGGGGUCCUUGAGACUUUAGUGGCGCAGUUAACGCGAUAAGUAGACCGCCUGGGGAGUACGGCCGCAAGGUUAAAACUCAAAUGAAUUGACGGGGGCCCGCACAAGCGGUGGAGCAUGUGGUUUAAUUCGAUGCAACGCGAAGAACCUUACCUGGUCUUGACAUAGUGAGAAUCCUGCAGAGAUGCGGGAGUGCCUUCGGGAAUUCACAUACAGGUGCUGCAUGGCUGUCGUCAGCUCGUGUCGUGAGAUGUUGGGUUAAGUCCCGCAACGAGCGCAACCCUUUUCCUUAUUUGCCAGCGGGUUAAGCCGGGAACUUUAAGGAUACUGCCAGUGACAAACUGGAGGAAGGCGGGGACGACGUCAAGUCAUCAUGGCCCUUACGACCAGGGCUACACACGUGCUACAAUGGUAGGUACAGAGGGUUGCUACACAGCGAUGUGAUGCUAAUCUCAAAAAGCCUAUCGUAGUCCGGAUUGGAGUCUGCAACUCGACUCCAUGAAGUCGGAAUCGCUAGUAAUCGCAGAUCAGAAUGCUGCGGUGAAUACGUUCCCGGGCCUUGUACACACCGCCCGUCACACCAUGGGAGUCUAUUGCACCAGAAGUAGGUAGCCUAACGCAAGAGGGCGCU
rnacentral:rRNA from 1 species